rnacentral:rRNA from 1 species
AUGGGCGAGAGGCUACUACUGCUGAAGGUGGAGUGUCGUGAAAGGUCGGGCCGCAACAAUGGAUCAGAUCUCGCCAUCGAGCCCGACCCGAACUAUCUUUCGGGCUGCAAAACAAAGCCCGAGCCCGGCCCGAAUGUCAAGCUCGGCCCGGGUUUUUUGGGCCGGGUCGUCGGGCCGGGCUGCCCAUGCCCGGGUUGUGGACGAAUAUCGCUGAUAGCUAUGAUUCAGGCCUGGAUCCUGUUGGUCAAUAAGCGGAAUGACAAGCCUGCCAUUCGGGGUAGAAAGCACUACACAAGUGAGAAUGUUCUUGCUGCGGAUGACUUCGAUCUGAAGUUCACCUAUGUGCUAGCUGGGUGGGAAGGAUCAACCCAUGAUGAUAACAUCCUAACUGACAACACGAAUCGACCUGAUGGCAUCAAUAUCCCCGAUGGCAAGUUCUAUCUAGGGGAUGCUGGCUAUGCAUUGACGGUUGAGAGGCCAUUUGAAGCUUUGAAGAAUAGGUUUAAGAUCCUGGAUCAGAAGCCAUUCCAUCCUUACCCUACCCAGGUUAAGCUUGUUCUUGCAUGUUGCAUCAUUCAUAACUGGAUCCUACAAUGGGGUUGUGAUGAACUUGUGCCAAAGGAGGAAGAUGUGACGCCUGAUGAUGUUGUCAGCUCCGACCAUGAGGUCAAACAAGAAUCUGAAGAAAAGAAAGAAGAGGCAGCAGUACAAGAGAAGAAGCAGCAGCAACAGAAGAAGAAAAGGACGACGAUGGACUUCCACCUACUAAACGCUGACGCCCAAUCCACCGCGCAGCGUCCCCGCGCCCGCACGCCGCCAGCCCGCGCGCCGUCGCGCCCGCCUCCGUCCUCGGCUGCUCGGCACUUCGGCGGGCACGGCCUGGACUGCGCCCGUCGCACGCCGACCACCGUCCACCGCGACGGCCGACGGCGCAGCAGGCAGCACGGAGGGCCCGACGCAGAUCCGCCCGCCCUAGCGUGA